GAAAUGCGAUAACUAAUGUGAAUUGCAGAAUUCAGUGAAUCAUCGAGUCUUUGAACGCACAUUGCGCCCCCUGGUAUUCCGGGGGGCAUGCCUGUCCGAGCGUCAUUACUGCCCUCAAGCCCGGCUUGUAUUGGGUCCUCGUCCCCCCUCCGGGGGACGGGCCCGAAAGGCAGCGGCGGCACCGCGUCCGGUCCUCGAGCGUAUGGGGCUUUGUCACCCGCUCUGUAGGCCCGGCCGGCGCCAGCCCACGCAGAUCAUCCUUUUUUUUUUCAGGUUGACCUCGGAUCAGGUAGGGAUACCCGCUGAACUUAA
rnacentral:misc_RNA from 1 species